GCUGAUACGUCCUACCUUGUACACACGCCGUCGCUACUACGAUGAAUGCUAGUGAGCCUCGAAUGAGUCGGGACGCAACAGUUCUGUUCUUGAGAAGUUGUCAACUUGGUCAUUAGAGAAGUAAAGUCGUACAAGGUUUCCGUAGGUGAACCUGCGGAAGAUCAUUA
rnacentral:rRNA from 1 species